UCCGAGUUGACCCCGGCAGUCUCCUGCGAGUCCCCAACUAAAUGCUGGCAACACAGGAUAAGGGUUGCGCUCGUUGCGGGACUUAACCCAACAUCACACGACACGAGCUGACGACAGCCAUGCAGCACCUGUGUGGAAAGCUCCAUUGCUGGAGAAGCACGAUCUCCCGUACAGUCUUUCCCAUGUCAAGCCUUGGUAAGGUUCUUCGCGUUGCGUCGAAUUAAACCACAUGCUCCACCGCUUGUGCGGGCCCCCGUCAAUUCCUUUGAGUUUCGGUCUUGCGACCGUACUCCCCAGGCGGAGUGUUUCACGCGUUAGCUGGGCCCCUGAUCCACGUAGACCAAGGGCGAACACUCAUCGUUUACGGCAUGGACUAC
rnacentral:misc_RNA from 1 species